UUUCCUCAGCCUUACUCCAGGGACUCCACAACCCAUGGAGUGUCUUGGCAUUGCCUGAGGAUACAGUGAAAGUGUGCCAAACUCGCUGUCCAGAAGGGUGCUUGGUUCCCUUUGAGGCCUAGAGUUGGAGCAAACAUA